AGGAAAUCCGUAUCGCUAUUUUUACUACUAAAUAAACCAGUGCAAUUAAAGCGCGCAGGGCGAGAGUAUGUCGAGGCGAGCACAGAGGAGCGCGCCCGCCCAGGCUUGCCCUGAGGGCGGCGAGGGCUGUGAGCCAGGACCCCGGGCCCUGCACCGCGGGAGCGCGCGCGCGUGGGUCCAGCCUCCUAGCUGUGCGACAACCCGGUGGCCAAAGUCACCACGAGAAGACAGAGUUCCCGGUCAUCGGUCGUUUCUGCCUUACACUUUCCUACAUUUCCUGAACAUUUUGCAAAUGGUUUUGAUCCCGAACGGUGUCCAGCGGUGGCAUCACCAAGAUUUCCGGGAGUGCUAGGGAUUGGGAAGAAUCGUGGAUAGGAGACUAAGCGAGCCGUCCCGGAAGCAACAGUUGCUGGUAAGACUUUGGGCACAGACCUGUACGCGAGUGUAUGCUUUUGCGGGUUGUGGGGCUCUCCUUUCAUAGCUAGGGAACAGUUGUCGAACAUACCCGGAGUGUAGUUGUUAGUGGACAAUAUUAUGGCGGCCAAUUGAAGUGUGGGUUUCCGUAGUGUAGUGGUUAUCACAUUCGCCUAACACGCGAAAGGUCCCCGGUUCGAAACCGGGCGGAAACAACCCCAAGUGGGUUUUUGUUUUUUUCUUUUUGAGACGGGGUUUUGCUCUUGUUGCCCAGGCUGGAGUGCAAUGGCGUGAUCUCGGCUCACAGCAACCUCCGCUUCCCCGGUUCAAGCCAUUUUCCUGCCUCAGCCUCCGGAGUAGCUGGGAUUACAGGCACGCUCCACCACACCCGGCUAAUUUUGUAUUUUUAGUAAAGACAGGGUUUCUCCAUGUUGGUCAUGGCUGGUCUCGAACUCCGGAUCUCAGGUGAUCCGCCCGCCUCGGCCUCCCAAAGGGCUGGGAUUACAGGCGUGAACCACCGCGCCCAGCCCCGAAGCGGUUUUUAUCUCAUUACACACCCUUAUUACACUGGAGACUAAACUAGAAGACCCCACUAGUAUGUUCACCUGGUUACAGCGGCACAAAGAGAAGAGGGCAUCUACGCUUUUGCUUCCCAGCCUCAAUCACCUGCAUCUGUGAAGAACCCAAUCCACUUUCACUUGCUGUAGACAAGCUCGGCACAGGGCCCAUCUACUCCACAGCUGCACGCUGCCAAAUGGAACCCCGCAUCCCGAGUAUGUGUGUGGCCCAUUACCCCUUUCAUAGGGGACAAAAGUGACAAAAGUACCACAGUCUGGCAGCGGUGGGAUUCGAACCCACGACCCCGAAGAGACUGGAGCCUUAAUCCAGCGCCUUAGACCGCUCGGCCACGCUACCUCUCGGCUACAACGUAUUUACAUAAUUUCCUUCAGUUAUAAAGCAUGCCAAGGGCCCUGGGCCAACAGGGAGUUGGGGCGAAUCCACAGGGAGAACCAAGGCAGGAUCCGCUCCGCCAAAGUCACUGGCUGGAAAAUGGCUCCACCAGCGCCCUGACACGGGAUUCUCAAAGCCCAGGCCUCAGCAUCUGCUUUAGGAAGGCCACUCAUAAAGCCACCCCUGCCGGCCCCCUUUGGGGAAUGCGCUCCACAGCAGGGGUAGACUUCCACUCUCUCACUUCAAAAAAUCAAAAACAAAUACAAUGAAAAACAAAAUACAAUAAAAACCUAAAGAAAAACAAACAGGCCGGGCGCCGUGGCUCACGCCUGUAAUCCCAGCACUUUGGGAGGCUGAGGAGGGCAGAUCACGAGGUCAGGAGAUCGAGACCAUCCUGGCUAACAUGGUGAAACCCCGUCUUUACUAAAAAAUACAAAAAAUUAGCCGGGCGUGGUGGCGCCUGUGGUCCCAGCUACUCCGGAGGCUGAGCCAAGAGAAUGGCGUGACCCCGGGAGGUGGAGAUUGCAGUGAGCCGAGAUCGCGCCACUGCACUCCAGCCUGAGCGACUGAGCCAGACUCCAUCUCAAAAAAAAAAAAAAAAAAAAAAGAAAAACAAACAAACAAAAACCCCCAGCCUGAGCAACAUGGCAAAACCCUGUCUUUACAAAAGAUGUAAACAUUAGCCGGGCGUGAUGGUGUGUGACCAGCUACUCAGCUACUCAGGAGGCUGAGCCCGGGAGGCAGAGGCUGCAGUGAGCCGAGAUCGCCCCACUGCACUCCAGCCGAGGUGACAGAGCAAGAGCCUGUACCAAAACCAACCAAAGAAAAACAAAACAAACAAAAAACCCCAACAACAACAACAAAACAGGCAACAAACUGAAAGUAUGUAUUGACUUUACGAGUCACGAGCAGAAACAUUCUUAGUAACUUCAUUCAUAAUAACUCGCCUCUGGAAACAGGCCAAAUGCCCACCAUCUUUGCACUGGAUAAAUAAAAUGGUAUAUAGUCUUAUCUUAUUUUAUUAUUUUAUUUUUUAUUAUGUAUAUAGUCUUACAUGGGAUAAUUAUAACACUGAUAAUGAGCUUACUGCUGCAAACAGCAUGGAUGGAUUUCACCAACAUCAAUAUUGAGCAAAUGCAGCCAGACACCAACCGUCUGCAUUCUAUUGAUCCCACAUAUGACGUUCACGCACGAGCCAAACUAUCUAUGCUGACAGAAGUUAAAAUCCUGUCACUUGGGAGGAGGAGGUGCAGAUACUGACUUGCAAGGGACAUGAGGAAACUUUUUGCAAUGCUCUAUCUGGGUGAUAGAGCACGUGUGUGUUUGUGCAUGUGCACAAGCCAAGUGUAUUCAAUUCCAUGCUCACUUAAGAUUUCUGUACAUAUAAAAUCUUGACACAGUACAGCUAUAUUUGUAUGAAAAUUGUUUCUUAAAACAUGACUUUCUUAGUUGGAAAGGCUAUUGUUUUAGAUUUUACUGGUAUGUAACAAAUUACCACACAUUUAGUGUCUUAAGACAGGAUGGAUUUAUUAUCUCGCUUUUUGUGCAAGUUAGCAAGGUUUUCUACUGAUACCGCAGCAGGUGACCUCACAAUGUUGGCCAUUGCUGCAGUCUCAUCUGAGGCAGGGGAUUCUCUUCCAGCCUCCCUGCUUGUUGACAAAAUGCAUUUCUUUGUUGCUGUGGGACUGAAAUCUCCCGUUUGCUUGCUGGCUGUCAGCUGAGGGCCACUCUCAGCAACCAGAGGCCCCUUUCCUUGAGGCCAGCGGUGCACAGUGUUUCUGGAACUCCACCUUCUUUUAAAGGCCUCACCUGAUUAAGUCAGGCCCACCCAGACUAAUUUCCUUUUUGAUUUAUCAAAAUCAACUGACCAGGAACCUCAAUCACAGCUGCGCAAUCCGUUGUUCCGUAAAAUGUGGCGUGGUUGUGGGAGUGACAUGCCGUCACGUUCACUCAGAGGCAGGUGGCCUACAGGGCGUGUGCCCUGGGUGGGAAUCUUGGGGCCCACCUUUGAGUUCUCCCUAUGACAGUUACAGGCCUGAGAACCAAAUAGAUAGUCUCCCAGCAGAACAGGCUUUCCAAGUUCCUUACUUGUCUUUGUAUUUGUAACU
ensembl:lncRNA